rnacentral:rRNA from 1 species
CUCGGAGUUUGAUCCUGGCUCAGAUUGAACGCUGGCGGAAUGCUUUACACAUGCAAGUCGAACGGUAGAGGGGGCAACCCCUUGAGAGUGGCGAACGGGUGAGUAAUAUAUCGGAACGUGCCCAGUCGUGGGGGAUAACGUAGCGAAAGUUACGCUAAUACCGCAUACGAUCUAUGGAUGAAAGCGGGGGACCGUAAGGCCUCGCGCGAUUGGAGUGGCCGAUGGCAGAUUAGGUAGUUGGUGGGGUAAAGGCCUACCAAGCCUGCGAUCUGUAGCUGGUCUGAGAGGACGACCAGCCACAC